rnacentral:rRNA from 1 species
UACGGGGGGGGCAAGCGUUGUUCGGAAUUACUGGGCGUAAAGGGCGUGUGGGUGGCCAACUAAGUCGGACGUGAAAUCCCCAGGCUUAACCUGGGAACUGCGUCGGAUACUGGAUGGCUUGAAUCCGGGAGAGGGAUGCGGAAUUCCAGGUGUAGCGGUGAAAUGCGUAGAUAUCUGGAGGAACACCGGUGGCGAAGGCGGCAUCCUGGACCGGUAUUGACACUGAAGCGCGAAAGCCAGGGGAGCAAACGGG